AUUGCAUCAUCCCUUUACAAAACGACAUCGUUCUACAUCUAUCCACUGUCGCUGCUGCAUUGUCUCAUUAUCAAUCAAACUCUCCAUGAGAGAGAGAGAAAGAGAGGGUGAAAAGAGUGAAGAAAAUCUCCAUUUUCAAAUCUUUCAAGAGAGAAGCCAUCAUCAAAACCAUGGACACUUUUGAUGCCUCAAGCAAAUAUUUUAAUCACUUUUAUCAUUUUCAUCACCACCACCCUUAUAUGGUGCAAGGCAAGGCGGUGUCUUUCGGUGCUUAAUGAGGGACGACGGAUGGGGAUAGAUGAAGUACAUCGCUACUAUCUUGAAGCUUAAUUUUCAAUAAUUUCGAGCUCACCAGUGCCAUCUCCAACCUGUAGGUCAAUUUCCCUGCCUCCUUUCUUAAUGUCUUUGGAUUUAGAACUUUUUGAGUCAAUUUCGAUUAGCUGUGAUGGAGAAAACCUCCGAUUGGUGAGCUCUCUACGAUGCUUAAAAUAGAGCUAAUAUUGUCAGGUAACUAUGAUUUUGGGCUUUUCCAAUUUAGAUUUCUAUUGAUGGUAUAAUGGAGUUUUGAUGGUAGAAGGAACAACCAUGCUUUCAACAAGCUGUGAUGGAGGCCAUUUUCAAACCUUUCAAGAGAGAAGCCAUCAUCGAAGUCAUGGACAAUUUUGAUGCCUUAAGCAAAUAUCUUAAUCACUUUUAUCAUUUUCACCACCACCACCCUUAUAUGGUCGCGAGGCAAGGCAAUGUCUUUUAGUGCUCGAUCACGAAUGACGAUUGGGGAUGGAUGAGGAACAUCGUUGCUAUCUUGAAGCUUGAUUUCCGGCAAUUUCAGGCUCACCAGUGCCAUCUCCAACCUGUAGAUCAAUUUCCCUACCUCCUUUCUUAAUUUCUUUGGAUUUAGAAAUUUCUGUGUCAAUUUUGAUCGGCUGUGAUGGAGCAAAACCUUCGAUUGGUGAGCUCUCUGCAACGCUGAAAAUGGAGUUGAAUUAUUAGGUGUUUGAUCAGGAUAUUGGGCAAGACAAGAGACUGGGAAUAACAAAAGUGCCUUUAAUCGAGCUGGAAGGAGAAACUUGGAAAGAGAUGGAGUUAAGACCGCUACCAUCCCUUUACAUGUUGAAGAUUAAGGAUAAGAAGGAUAGAGAAACUCUUACAAUAAAGAAAAUGAGAAAAAUGGAAAUUUGGAGAAAAAUAGCUUAAAAUGCUAAAGAAUUGAUUUGACCGAAGCAAUUUGGUUAAAUCAAGCCUCAAAGGAUGACUAAGGCAGCUGUAGGAAGAGGAAACUAACAUUCAAAGACUUGAUAUGCCCAAGUUGAUUUGGCCGGAUCGCUGGCCAAAUCAUUUGAAGAAAGCUGAAAUUGAAAUCCGAAGGUAACUUGCAGAAACGAUUUGGGCAAGUGAUUUGCUCAAAUCAACUAUCUCCAAUAAGAAAAGACAGAAGAGCGGAAAAAGUAGAAAUUCAAAAUUUCAAAAGUCUUAGAGUCCUAUCCUAUUUCAAAUACACCAAGACUCAUCCUAUGGCACCUCCUAAACCACACUAAAAGGAGUUCUUCACCAAAGGAGAUCAAGUUAUGAUAAAAUACAAGGCAAAGAAAGAGUCAAAGACCAAGUCAAAUUAGGAUUCCAACUCCAAAAAUGAUUAAAUUAAGGAUUCUCAUUUAUAAAAAGGGCAUAAAUUAGCAGCAAAAGAGAAGCAACUUUCGGCAGCAAGACCAGCAACGCCCUCUCCCCUUUUCUUCUCCCUUUUCUCUUUUAUGUAUUCUUUGUCCACCAUUAGUGGCUAAACACUUUUUCUCUGUUUGGAGUAUGAGAAAUUUCAGUUUUGUUAUGAAUUGAGAGAUCUGAA